UAUAUAUAUAUAUAUAUAUAUAAAAUAUAAAACAAAAUAUAAAAACCAUAACAAACAUAUGGCUUCUGACCCGGUCAGCUAGUCUAAAAGAACAGAACUAAGGAGAGGCUGGUGUGAUAUUCUUGAACAGAAUUGUGUCAAUUAGAUCAACAUCCUGUUGAGAAAUUGACUAUAACAAAAGCCCAUUUAAAAAAAAAAAAACAACAAAAAAAACCCUAUAUAUAAUACAUUUCCCACAAAUAUUGCUGUCCUGGACCAGGGGUAUCAUCUUGGAGCUCAUUUGAAAUUGCAUUUCUAUUGAGGGUUUAUAUAUAAAAUUUUCAUUUACUACUCAUGUCACUGCCACGCUGCACCUCUAUACCUCCUCGUCUACUUGCCCUACACAGUAAGUUCUUACUUUUCGACAAUUGUGUCCAAUUACUUCUCAUUUAUGUUGUAUGAUGUGAACAAAAGAUGGGUUUUUUUUUUUGUCUUGUUUUGUUAAGAGAGAAAUAUUUUAUUUCUCCUUUUGUGUCCAAUCCUUCCUGGAAGGACGUUAAUGUGAAAUGAAGAAAUGCAAAAAAAGAAAAGAAAAUGCAAAGUAAUCAAAGUUGUUAUUUAAUAAACACCGGCCAUGGCAUUAUUAUGUAAUGUUAUUCUGCCUGCCCAUUGCUUUGUGCCAUAUACACAUGCAAGCUGAAUACAGAAUAAAUCAGUGAGAAAACAUUACUCUAAUGAGAAAGUGGAAACACUGUUACAGGUAUUUCUCUGGGUGUUAGUCUGUACUUCACAGGCAGGGGGCGGUAAUGAACUGCAUGAUAUUCAACUGGGAAUAGAGAUCCUUCACCAAUGCUGCCCUUUUAUUCGCCACCUAUUUUCCAAGUGCUGGGAAAACAACUACAGAUUCUGUCUGAUGUGGAUGCUGCUGUUUCUAGAGAAAUAAAGAGACCUUUGAGCCCUGCUGAGACACCAGAUCCAUAGAAGACAAAACUGGGGGGAUUUCUGUUGUAUCACGUACAGACACCAGUGGAAAAUUGCCUGUCUGAUAACAUGAGAAGUCGUCGAAGCUUUUUAUCCAAUGACAGGAGGCCAGCAUUUAGAUGAAGCAAACUGAUUCUGAAGCUGCCCUGGGGUGUGGAACACUUCAGAGUGAGCUCUCUCCAUUACCCAUCAACACAAGGGAGAGAAGCAGCAGAGAAUUGAAAUCUUGUGUCAGGAUAAAGUAAGACAGCUGUGCAGCUUAGAUAGCUAGAGGAGUCACGAAGGUGAAAUCAGUCAUUUGAGACGGGGCAGGGUUAAUAGUUAAUAAUGAAUAGUGAUGUAUAAAUGUAGGAUUUGUUUUUUGUAUUGGAUGGAAGAAUGAGCCAGCCAGAAAUGGUAAAUGCCACUGACUAAGCCCGAUUGUUGAAUUUUAAAUGUGUGAGCUUCAAGGGACAUCACAUUGGCGUAGGCGGAACCAUUUUAGGGAAUGUCAGCAUCAAUGCUUUUGUUUGCUCUAGCUGCUACAAAGAAAGCACAAAAUGGGCUGAUGUUUCAGCAUUAAACAGUAAUCCAUGACUUUUCUUGAAGAGGGGCCACUGUUUCCUAUAAAUCACAUUAAAAUAUGAUGAGCUUAUUUAAUUCGCUCAUACCCCUGUGAUCUGCUUAUUUUAGUUAACAAUACAUAAAAAACCCCCCACUGAGUUUCAGUUUGGCCUGUCUGCAAACCAAUAUUGUAUUUCUUCUUUACUCCUCAUGUAACAGCAGUUCUGAAGGUUGCCUGCUGACAGGGAAGGAUGUACUUGGAGUUUGGCUAAACCUGAC
ensembl:lncRNA